UCUCCACAUUGCUACCCUGGGGAUCCAGCUUCUGGCACAUGGAUGUGGGGACCAACCAGGUCUGAACCACAGCAUGCUGUAUUCUGCUGUAUGGGAUUUCUGAAGAGAAAAAGGAUAUUUCGGAAAAAUGAAGAAAAUCUGAACAAAAAUGGACCUUAGUUAAAAAUACCAAUAUUGGUUUAUUAACUAUAACACCCAUACUAUACAAAGAUAAGGUGUUAAUAAUAGAGAGAACCUGAUAUGGGGUCCAUGGCAGUCUGUGAUAUGUGUGAAAUUUUUCUUUGAAACUAAACUCUUCUAAAAGGGCCUAUUAAAAACAAGAUGACGGAGGGCCAGAGAUUUAGCUCAGUGGUGCGGGUGCCUGCCUUGCAAGUUUGAUCCUGAUAACCCCCAAAACAAAACAAAACAAAGCAAAAAACCAAGAUGAUGGAAAUACAGAGCCAUGGUUGGGGUUCAGGGAAAUCUCAUGAGCAGGAGCUCAGAAAAAGGGCCAGGUGGAGACGGCAGUCAAAGAAGGGACUGCUGCAAGGAUAAUAGACCUUUGAUAAAAAUACUGGUGGUGAGAGAAGGAAUGGUCCUGAGGGCCCUGGUCAUAGAAGCCCCUCUGGUCUUCAAGGAAGCAAAGACUGAAGGAGGCCAGCUUCACCAUGCAGGCCCUGGUCCAGUUCCACCUCAGAGACCCAACACAGCAAUGUUCCAACUUUCAGUCACCCUCCCUUCUGGAUGAUGGCACAACCUCUGUGCCCAUCUACUUUACUCGAGCUUACGAGGAAGCCACCAGCCUCUCAGAGCCCAAAUUAGAUCAUCUCACCUUCCACGGUAAGCCAGUGGUCCCCUUGUUCCUAUGGUAACAUCUGUUUUCUGCCAUGUCUAUGUUACCCACCUUUGCUCGCUCCAUGCCUCCUUGGCUCUUCCUCCUUUUCUUCCUGUAAUAGUUCCUGUAAGUGGUGGUGAAAGGGGUGGCACCCUCAGGCUUGGGGGAUCCAUAAUGGAAAACUGAUUUCACCUCCUCAUUGUGAGCUGAGCAAGGUAUGUGAGUUGCUUUUCACCCAAAGCAUGGGAUACACGUUUCC
rnacentral:lncRNA from 1 species